AAGUCGUAACAAGGUUUCCGUAGGUGAACCUGCGGAAGGAUCAUUAAAAGUAAUAUGUAUUCUCUCGAAUAUACAUUAUAAGCCCAUCUGUGUAUCUUACCCGUUGCUUCCGCGAGGCAGUGAUCUCGGUCACCUCCGAACGACGGCGAAAGCUGUCCGACGGGGAGCACUCGCGGGAGGUAUACAUCAAACUCUUGCAUUUUUAUGUCAUCUGUCUGAACUGUUUAUAACAAAUGUUAAAACUUUCAACAACGGAUCUCUUGGUUCUC
rnacentral:misc_RNA from 1 species